rnacentral:rRNA from 1 species
AACCGAAUCGUAGUCCGGAUUGCAGUCUGCAACUCGACUGCAUGAAGUCGGAAUCGCUAGUAAUCGCGGAUCAGCAUGCCGCGGUGAAUACGUUCCCGGGUCUUGUACACACCGCCCGUCAAACAAUGGGAGUGGUGUUUACCAGAAGUCGUUAGCCUAACCGCAAGGAGGGCGGCGACCACGGUGAGCACCGUGACUAAUGUUAAGUCGUAACAAGGUACC